UUACUCUGAGGUUCUCGCGGCAAGACCCAAAUGGACAGUGAUUUGGCUGCCAGCUGGUGUUAAAAACAAGCCAACUCCAAGAAAGUUAUGGAUUACCUCUAAGUGAGAAAAAGGAAGCAUAAGAACAACAAAGAAAAUGGAAAGAACAAAAGACUCAAGUUCUCCAGCCCCCAAAAUUAUUCAGUCUUUAUGAAGGCAACACUAUGAUCUCCACGAGCACAAUCAUCCAAAUGAAGAUGGGAACCCCUGUUCUAACUCUCUCAGAGGCCUGAAGUUAGUUUUCUAGCACUCUC
rnacentral:antisense_RNA from 1 species